GAGAAGGAGCUCUGCCAGAGAGAGUAAAGGGAAGAGGUCAGAAUACAUGAAUGGCUUGAGACUGGUGUUCCUCAUCCACCUCAAAGACUGAGAGCUCCAGAACAACUCUAACCACCAGGCAGGAUCUAUGGGGACAUCAAAGGUGGCAGUGCCAGCAGGCUGGCUGAAGUGGGGGAGAAGUGUCUUGGGAGCUCCUCUGCCUCUGAGGCAGCCAAGGAUGGUGGCAGGAACAGGUACAGGAAUGAAAGGACAAGUUUGGAUUUUACAGAACAAGAAACUGGAGGCAGUGUCCUCAUUUAAAUACCUUGGACUGUGUACAAUUUAUAUUUCCCUCUAGACAAAUGCUUUGGGAAACAUGGGGCACUAAUACACAAGCAUGUAGGCUGCUCUGAUGUUCAGGAAUUCUAGUGCAGACUGAAUAAUUUGAGUGUGCUGAAGUGUGGCAAUUGCCAUGCUCCAGCAGCCUUCUGCAUCUUAUGCAUCAGUGUCCCCCACUUAAAAAUGGUGGCAGGGAAAUUUGAACUAAAGGUCAUCAAAUGAGCUUUAAUUCAAAUGUCCUCAUCACCAUUUUUAAAUGCUUGGACACUGAUGCAUUAGAUGCGACAGCGUUUUAAUUAGAGUGACUUCCAGAUUUGCUGUAAUUAAAGCACUGCCUGCCCCCCCCCCACCAACCCCAGAGCAGAUGUAAAAGUACUCAUGCUGACCAAAUAUUACUCCCAUAUUAAAAACAUGAUGUAAAUUUAGGAACAAAAGAUGCCAGCCUGCAUACAGAUGUGUGCAGUGUGAUUCUCUCAAUCUUUUCCUCUUUUGAGAAUCAUAAAGCACUCUUUUGUUUUAGAAACCUACCUAUCUGAAGUACAAAACUAUAAAAAAUGAAAGGCCAUUACUAGACUGCAAUUCGCUCAAAUGAGUUGUGCAGCCAUUAUGAGCAAGUGGUGUUGGACCCCAUAUACAGACAGGAUACAUUCUUGUAGGAAGAAUGAGAUAGACUAUUUUAAAUCAUUUUUUGUGAUCUUGCUAAUGUUUAUGAAGCAAUACGAGGAAAAUCAAAUACGGCUGUGCAAAGCUUUGGUCCCUGAUUCAAUGACCAAAUCCCCAAAACCAAAUUGAAUCGGAGGACCCUUUAAUCUCUCCACAUUGAAUCUGAACCCUCUGAAUAGAUUUGGUGAUUCAGACACAGUUUAAAUGUUUUUUUCUACAUACCUCUAGGUACCAGGCAGCUUGUGUAAUCUGCAAUUCUGGGGUGGAUGGAGUGUCCCACAGGAGCACGGGGAGGGAGGGGGGGGGUCCCCAGUGCACUUAGUAGCAGACCCAGAAAUGGACUAGAAACACUUCUGGUCCACUUCCAGGAAGCGUGCUUCCCCCCUGCCCCUGCACCCUCCAGCUCGGUGACUGGUGCCACCCAGGGUCCUGCUAAAGCCAAUUGCCGAGCUGGGGAGGCACCCCCUGCCCCACCCAGCAUGAUCCCUGGUGGACCUGGAAGUAGAUUGGAAGUACUUUCAGUACACUUCCAGGUUCACUGCCGAGCACAU